GACGUAGGGGGCCAGCGUUGUUCGGAAUUACUGGGUGUAAAGGGUUCGUAGGCGGUGCGGCAAGUUGGGAGUGAAAUCUCUGGGCUUAACCCAGAGGCUGCUUCCAAAACUGCUGUGCUUGAGUGUGAGAGAGGCUCGUGGAAUUGCAGGUGUAGCGGUGAAAUGCGUAGAUAUCUGCAGGAACACCCGUGGCGAAAGCGGCGAGCUGGAUCACAACUGACGCUGAGGAACGAAAGCUAGGGGAGCAAACAGG
rnacentral:rRNA from 1 species